UUCAAACAUUAAGGAUGUGGGUGCUACUGUGGGCUUCCCAAGACAGCUACAGGGAAGUGGUUCUGCUUGAACCCAAACAAGAGAACAGAAGAGCUGCCUGCUGCCCAGGGCCACUGCAGCACAGCAGCGUGGGACUGAAGAGAAAGGCCUGGGAGAAAGGAUACAAGUCAUGGACGAAAGAUGACCCACCAUCACCCCUGCUAGGCACCCUGCACUUCCCACUCUUUGAAGCUGUUGCUAGCCAGCUCUAAGUGAACUCCAAGGACUGUAUUUGCAGCAGUUAUGCCAUGAGCAAAGUACUCCAAUGGCUAUUCAUGAGAAUACCGACUUUCUCAUCCAGUGACCUCAAACAAUGAAGGCAGGAGAGUCGUCAGAACUUAGGGUUAAAUUUGGUUAAAGAGAACAAGGCUGAAAACUGGGCGACAGCACUUGGUACAGAAAGGAAUGAAUGUGAGGAACACUUAAGAGUCUUUGAAUUUUAAAAUGAUUCUUAAAACAAGACAGAAGUACUCCUUUCAUCUGGAAACACAGCAGCAGAUAGAACAGGAAGAGGUCCACAUUGGCUGAGAAGGCACUUUGGGGAACACCACAGAGCAGCCCUCUGCAGACUUCACGCUCCAGUGAGGAAGCAGCGCCCCUAACUCAGUCUCUAAUAGGAGCGGCAUUUUCUGGCCACAUUCAAACCAUGGAAGGCUAUUCAAAACUCACCAGAAAUUUGAAUGUUUUUCUUAACAAAAAGAAAAAGAUGGGAAGAGAGACACAGAACCAAAUCCAAAUCUGCACCACAAACCUUCAAGAGAACCAAGAGACAAUGCCCAAAUAAACAAACAUGGAAUGGCAUACAAAGAGCACACACAGCAGAGAGAAGUUUCCUCCUGUAGCAGAUGGGAAAAAGUACAGAGACCCACAGCCAGAGAGAACGCAGAGUGAGAGACCAUGGAACAUUGAGUCCUAAAAGGUAUGUCUUCAUCAAAUCUCUCCCCUCAGGGAUCAGGGAACCCUGUGCAUGAAGAGGAAAAGAGUGUAGGAGCCAAUGAGAUGGGAGGACAGCAAAAGAAAUCAAGAUCUUGUAGGCACAACAGGGUUGAACCACAUAGAAACUCACAGAGACUGUGGCAGCAGGCAAAUGGCCUGCAGGGUCUGCAUCAAAAGGGGUCUGAGACUAAAGGGAGAAGUGGACACAAGCCUCCAUCCCUAAUCCAGAAGCUACCUUCAAUUGAGAGCCACCUGCAAACGGAAAAAGUUUUUUUUUUUUUUCUCCAAGGAAGUCUCACUGGGGAAACAAACUACUCUUAAGGGUAGGUCCUAUGCUCUGCAGUAGAUUGCUAAUGGACAAAAUUAGAUCAACUGUCUUUGGAGGUUCUUUGUCUCCUAAUGUUAAAUUGAGGUGGGUUUUGUUUGGUUGGGUUAUGGUUUUGGUUUUUACAGGAUUCCCGAGUAUGCAAACAUGUCUGUCUCUACAUCUGUUGGCAUUUCUGGUGCUUUUUCUUUGGUUCUUUAUCUUGUGAAGGGGGAAGAGAGGAUGAGGAGGAAGAGAAAGAGGAGAAGAAAGAAGGGGAAGAGGAAGAAGUCAAGCCACAUGAAUCUGCAUAUUUCUAGAAGGUCUUUGAGGUGUGAGGCUUCCUUAAACAGUUGUUUUCUUACAUGCGUUUGGAGUGUUGUGCACACUGCGUAUGGCUUCUUUCUGUAUGAAAAUACUGUCAGCAUACUCUCCAGGAAGCAGUAGAGUGCACACAGCCUGCCUUGUUCACCUUGGGUAAUGAUGAGAGGUGUUGCCUGCAGCCUGGUCAGCUUUGCUCUGGAUGGCAACGUGCACAGAGCAUCUAUAGCUGAGGCAGGAAGAUGGCCUCCUUUUGAAGCCCAGGGUAGGAUAAAGAAUAUGUUCUAUAUCUGCCUAGGCUGAAACAAGGAAGAAGAUCCUGUCCUAGGCAAGCAAGCAAGCAUGUCCAACAAGCAGCUAGCCGUAGUAAGUACAGUCUGAAAUGAGCACAGUUUGAUACUGAACCAGCAUGAUAAAGUAUUCCGAUGUUUUAUUUUGUUUUUUUGGGGGGUGGGGCAAAUUAGGUAUAUUUUUCCAAAAAUCUGGGUCAAGAAACAAGCAUUUAGUGAAUACCUUUCUUUAAAGGUUUAUUUCAUGCAGAGUUACUCCAUAGAAAGUUCUCUAUAGAAUCUUGUAUAAAAUUAUCUGUGGUAGACUGGAUUAUUCAUUAUGUACCUCCCACUCCAACCCCAUCAUGCUUGCUGUGCUUUUUACACUAGUACAGAGCUGUUUCUCCCUCCCUCCCUCCUUCUCUCUCUCUCUCUCUCUCUCUCUCUCUCUUCCUGUUUUGAUAAGAUAUUCUGACACAAGAAACUUAAGGGAGAAGCAAUUUGUUUGGGCUAACAGUUUCAGGUUAUGGUCCAUUUCUAAGAAGUCAGGAGGCAGCUGGCCAUACUGUAUCCACGGUCAUGAGCAGAGACUGCUCCUUCUUUUCAUUCAGUCCAGUGCCCAAUGCUUAAAAUGGUGCUGCCCACGUUCAGGGUGUGUCCUCCUAAUUCAAUUAAACCACAGGCCAACCUAAUCCCCCAUUGAGACUUCCUUCCCAGAGAGUUGUAGAUUUUGCCACACUGACAACCAACAUUAUCCAGCACACAGGGGGUACUUCCUGAUACCCACUAAAUUUGUCACAUGAUGUCUGACGGGCAGAAUAGACAGUGAGCACUAAUAAAAUAAAUUACUUAUUCUGACCCAAAGCACCAAGUCUGGUGAGUCACUGCUCUCUAUCUAAUGAACCGGCUUUGGGUGGCUGACGUUCCUUUAUCAGCUUUAGGACAUGUAGAACAGACCUGGCCCUCAGCACUGCCAAACUCAGCAGAGAUCAGCCAAACCGCAGUCAGCCCGCAGCCUGGUCAUUGUGAAGUAAAUACUUGUGACUCUAAUGCCAUUGAGGUUUGGACGCUGUUAUGAGGCAGUUUGAAAACCCAAUGCCUUGCAGUAACAUCCUCACCCACAUAGGGAGUUUCAUCAGAAAGACCAAAAGUCACACAAAAUGUAACUGUGUUUAUAUAGAUUCCCAGCUAUCGCUGAGAUAUUAGAACCCACAAAGAGAAGUAGACAAAUGACAAAACACCCAAGAGCCAUUCUUUUCUUCCAGUUGUCCCACACUUAAUUUACAUGGCUAUUGAAUAUUCACUGAGAAGACAUCAACUGACAUCUUGUGUAGUCUUGGGAUACGUGUCCAAAGACUUAUAUAUUCCUCAAUGUUAUAAGUUGAAUAGAAUUACCACAAAACCACAGAUUAAACUCAUAAUCUUCAGUCCUUCAUUGGGGGGGGGGCAGCAUUAUUUGGAAAGUAGGUCACUAAAAUUGCAAUUAGUUAAAAUUAGGUCACUCUUCAAUGUGUGGAGCCCUGACCAAUACAAUGGCUUCUUUAUAAAUGUCCAUGCAUUAAAACACGGAGAGAAUGCUAGGUAAAGACAGGGCCAGAGCUUAGAAUGAUAUGGCUACAAGCUAAGGAAGAGCAAGUGACCAGAAGCAGAAGCAGCAAAGAGGGAUUUCUGUACAGGUGUCAGAGGGGAUGUGUCCUUGCUGAUAGGCAGAUUGGAGGACAUAUGUUUUCAGAACUAUAAGUAAAUACAUUUUUAUGUUUUGUAGAUAGCAUGUUUUAUGUAUACUCAGUACUUUGCGCAUAUGUAUGCAUGUGUACCAUCCUCUCUGUGUUCUCAAAGGCCAGAAGAGGCUGUCAGAUCUCCUAGAACUGGAGUUACAGGUCUGAGCCUCAAUCUGGGUACUGGGAUUUGACUUGGGUUCUCUGCAAGAGCAACAAAUGCUCUGAACCACGGUGUCAUCUCUCCAGCUUCUAAGUUUGUUGUUUUAAGCCACCCUAUUUAUAAUACAUUGUCAUUACAAACCUAACAUGAAAAUAUGCUGAUUUUAAAUUACUUUUCUAUAUUAUCACUAUUCCAAAGUGAUAAUGUAGUCAUAAUUAUCACUAUUCCAAAGGCAUGCUAUCAAAAAACUUUACUUUCCCCUCAGGACUACUAUGCUGCUAUCUCUCAUCAUUUAAAGGAAAUAUCAGAAUCCCAUUUAAGGAACUGGCAAAUAGUAUACUGAGAAACAAUAGACAUUCGUCCAGAUAACGCCAGUAAUCGGGAGAUAAGAGCAUAAAACCUCACCUGCUUAUCAAGAAACUAUUUCGACAUGAGUUUAAUGUAGUCUUAGAAUUUGUGACUGUAUAUUAUGCCCUGUGUGUGAUGUGUGCAUCAUACCUUAACGAUUUUCAAUGAACAAAAUCACACUGCCAGUUUCCUAGUGCAACCUUGAAUGACAUGGCAUUUUCUACUUCCUUCUUUUAUACACUUUUCAGCCAGGCUGUGAAUCCCAAAAAGGUGUGGACUGUUUCCACCCCCUGCAGUUUAAGACAGGUUUACACACUGGGGUGGUAUGCAUGAUAAUGGCCCCCACAGGUUCACAUAUUUGAAGGCUUGGUCCACUUGAUCAAACCAGUUGGGAAGGAUUAGGGGUGGGGCUCCGUGGAGGUGUGUCACUGGAGGUGGGCUUUGAGGCUUCAAAAGUAAACGCAAUUUCCACUUAGUUCUCUCUGCCUCAUGCCUGUGGAUCAGGUUGCAAGUUCUCAGUGACUGCUCUAGCACCCACCAUGUCUGCUGCCCUGCUACCCACCAUGAUGAUAAUAAGCCUCAAUAAACUCUUUUAUAAGUUG